rnacentral:rRNA from 1 species
UACGUAGGGCGCAAGCGUUGUCCGGAAUUAUUGGGCGUAAAGGAUGCGUAGAUGGUGUAGUAAGUUAUCGGUGGCAAAUCGAGGCUCAACCUCGUGGAAGUCGGUAAUACUGCUAUGCUAGAGGAUAGGAGAGGUUAACGGAACUCCCUGUGGAGCGGUGAAAUGCGUAGAUAUAGGGAAGAACACCAAUCAGGCGAAGGCAGUUAACUAUUCUAUUCCUGACAUUGAGGCAUGAAAGCGUGGGGAGCAAAACGG